rnacentral:rRNA from 1 species
UACAGAGGUCUCAAGCGUUGUUCGGAUUCAUUGGGCGUAAAGGGUGCGUAGGUGGCGCCGUAAGUCGGGUGUGAAAUUUCGGAGCUUAACUCCGAAACUGCAUUCGAUACUGUGGUGCUUGAGGACUGGAGAGGAGACUGGAAUUCAUGGUGUAGCAGUGAAAUGCGUAGAGAUCAUGAGGAAGACCAGUGGCGAAGGCGGGUCUCUGGACAGUUCCUGACACUGAGGCACGAAGGCCAGGGGGAGCAAAACGGGG